UACGUAGGGUGCGAGCGUUAAUCGGAAUUACUGGGCGUAAAGCGUGCGCAGGCGGCGCGUUAAGACAGGUGUGAAAGCCCCGAGCUUAACUUGGGAAUUGCGCUUGUGACUGGCGUGCUGGAGUGUGGCAGAGGGAGGUGGAAUUCCGCGUGUAGCAGUGAAAUGCGUAGAGAUGCGGAGGAACACCGGUGGCGAAGGCGGGUCUCUGGGCCGUAACUGACGCUGAGGAGCGAAAGCAUGGGGAGCGAACAGG
rnacentral:rRNA from 1 species